GCUUCCGUGGCUCGUCCUGUGACGCAGGAAGGGACUGGGUCCGAACAGGGUUCCUUCCUUUAGGGAAGAACGAGGUGCAAGAGGGAUGGCUUGUCUCUGGCCACAAAGCUCUGUGUUGCAUCCAAGUUCCAGCUCCUUUUAUUGCCAAAGGGCCUCAAGCGACAACAAGGGUGGGUUUGAACCAAUGGAGAGUCUGAAUUUCCCUCUUAAUUUGAGGAAAUCAGUGACUUUGGAUGAAAACAUGGAGAACAAGUGGAGGAUGCUCCCAGAGGUCAGAGAAGCAACCAGUGUACCCUGCAGCACCUGGAGAAGCAGUGGAGAUCACAAGGGAGACAUGGUGCUGAAAACUGUUGUGUUAUUUGACAAAUGAAGAACAGAACAACACACCCUUCACCCCUCAACUUGCCUCCUGACCACUUGUGCCCAGGCAGCCUCUCAGAGGGAAACAUUGCUGUCCUUUCUGUCACCAUAUGUUAAUUUUGCCUGUUCCUGGAUUCCAUAUACAUGAAAAUAAUACAACACAUGUGCUUUGUGUCUGACUUCUUUUGCUCAUCAUCCAUGUUGUUGGAUGAACAGAAAUUUGUUCUUUUUUAUUGUUGAAGGUAUUCCAUUGUGUGGACCUACCAUAAUCUGUUUAUUCAUUUUCCUGUUUAUGGACACUUGGGUGGAUUCUAGUUUGGGACUAGUUUGAAUAAAGCUGUUCUUCUUGUACAAGUUUUUUAGUGGCAAGAUGUUUUAAUUUCUCUUGUGUAAAUAACUAGGAGUGGAAUUGUUGGGUCAUUGUGUAGGAAUAUGUUUAAUCGUUUUAGAACCUGUCAAACUGUAUUUCAAAGUCUAUGUUUGACCCAUUUUAGUCUAUAAUGUAUAAUAUGAUAUCCCCAUAUAGUUUUAAUUCGUAUUUCUUUAAUGACUGAUAAUAUUGAGCACACUUCUGUAUGCUUAUUGGCAAUUCAUAAUCUCCUUUUGUGAAGUGUCUUUUCAAGUCUUUGGCCCAUUUAUAUUAUUAGAUUGUCAUUUAUUAUUUACUGAUGUGUAGGAGUUUGUAUAUAUUAUGGAAACAAGUCUUUUGUUUAAUAUAUGCAUUAUGAAUAUUUUUUCCCAUUCUGUGGUUUGCCUUUCAUUUUCUUGACCAUGUCUUUUGACAUGGUUAAGCUAUCAUUUUUUUCUUCUGUGGCUAAUAACUUCAGUGUACUAUUUAAGAAAUCUUUGCCUUCCCCAAGUUAAUGAAAAUAUUCAAAAAGUAAUUUACAGUAUAAGCAUGGAUCUAUUUCUGGAUUUUCUAUGCUGUACUAUUUAUCUGUUUGUCUAUCCUUGUGCCAAUAGUAUAUUGAUUUGAAUACUACAACUUAUAGUAAGUUUUGAAGUCAAUUAGGAAAAUAUUGUCUUGGGUUUUCUAGGUCUUUUGUUUUUCCACAUAUUUUUUAAAUUGGAUUUGUCGAUUUCUACAAGAGAAGCGUUUUAGAGUUUUAUAAGGUUUGCAUUGAAUUUGUUGAUAAAUUUGGUGAAAAGUGACAUCUUAACAAUAUUGAGCUCUAAUCCAUUUAUUUAUUUUUCCUUAAUCUUGCCAGAAGUGUUUACAGCUUUCAGUAUAGAAGUCAUACACUUCUUUCAUUAAAAUUAUUCUUAGUUAUUUUAUUGUUUGAGGGGGCUACUUUAAAUG